rnacentral:rRNA from 1 species
CCUACGGGUUGCAGCAGUAGGGAAUCUUCCGCAAUGGACGAAAGUCUGACGGAGCAACGCCGCGUGAGUGAUGAAGGUUUUCGGAUCGUAAAACUCUGUUGUUAGGGAAGAACAAGUGCGAGAGUAACUGCUCGCACCUUGACGGUACCUAACCAGAAAGCCACGGCUAACUACGUGCCAGCAGCCGCGGUAAUACGUAGGUGGCAAGCGUUGUCCGGAAUUAUUGGGCGUAAAGCGCGCGCAGGCGGUUUCUUAAGUCUGAUGUGAAAGCCCCCGGCUCAACCGGGGAGGGUCAUUGGAAACUGGGAAACUUGAGUGCAGAAGAGGAGAGUGGAAUUCCACGUGUAGCGGUGAAAUGCGUAGAGAUGUGGAGGAACACCAGUGGCGAAGGCGACUCUCUGGUCUGUAACUGACGCUGAGGCGCGAAAGCGUGGGGAGCGAACAGGAUUAGAUACCCUAGUAGUC